GGUUGUAAUUGGGAUCAAGGGAUUACGACUAAUUGUAUAAAUUAAUACAAAUAAAAGGACUUUGAUCGGUGAUAAAUACGCAAAAUUAAACAUUGAUUAGAAUCAAAAUAUUGCCGUGUUUGUAACGCUAUUAAAGAGACAAUGGAUUACGGUGCUGAAAACAAAAAGUGAUGAGACAACUCAGGCUACCGAGGCUGUAUUCGAUCCAGCUCCUGUGCGUCGGGUGCCAGCCACCAGUAUCAACAACUUCAACACCAAAACAACGGAAAACGCUGAAAGCUAAACACAAGAUUGGCUUUGAAUCUGCAUGGACAUUGACUAGACCUUGGUUAUACAACAAACACGAAUCUGAAUACUUUUCACAGAAAUAUUGAAGACAAAAUUGAUACAGCUAAUUUCAUCACAAUUAGAAUUGCUAGAUUACAUUAUAUGAAUGCUAAUUUUGCAAAAGAUAUGAAAUUAUUCAACUGAUUAAAGAAAUGAACUGUA
rnacentral:lncRNA from 1 species